rnacentral:misc_RNA from 1 species
AAAAAAGAAAGAAAAGCUGAAUUAGGUUUUUCCUAUGUUCAAUUUAAAUGGGCUUGGGACGCGGGAAUGGGAGAAAUGUGAAUGUUAGUGAUGGGAACAGAAGAAGUAAUAUUGUUGAGAAAGAUGUUGAGGAACCCGGAAGGAGCACUUCUUCUUUGCCAGCAUUACAAGUUGGAGAAAAUGGGAUUUCGCAGCGUCACGAGUCUUCG